UCUUGGCUCCUUAAUUCGUACGAAUGAUUACAAAUUCAGUGUUUCCCAGUACAAUUCUUCCCCACUCCCUUUAAGGAGCUAACCCAAAUCGGUUGUUCAUAAUAGAAGAGUCUUAACUGCUGUGGCCCAGGAUGUGUUUCAUCCAGGAAAUACUCAGAGUGAUCAUCGUUGAGCUAGUCCCAUUGUUUCUUCAUGGCGGAGAGUGGCCAGAUUCAUAUAGAUGAUUCAUACCUGAAGUGGUUCUGUAAAUUGAAUUCAUGGUUCGAUACACAAGGGUUUUAAAUAAGCCUGAGAGACCACACUGCCAUAGGACAUUAUUCAUGAAAAAAUAUCUUGAGAUGCAAAGUCCUAUUCAUCCUAUGAUGGCUGGACACUAAACAUUUAGAAGCGGUAUAAAAACACUCAGAUCCUAACAUUGAAGAUCUUCGAAAGAAUUCUUUCUCUUUAAAAGAAUUCUGAGAAUCCGAAAAACAUUGAGCAAAAGGAUUUCAAAAAGAUAUUUUUGAGAGAAGAAAGACUCUGAAGAAAAAAGAGGCCAACAGAGGACACAAAACUAUGCUGAGUGUAUUGGGUUUAUUGAACAGGCUGAACUCUGUGGGGUCCAAACGGGAAACGACUUGUAUCUCCUCCAGCACUGCCAUCAGACCAGCUCUGCGCUGUGCUUCCUGCCCCUUGACAGUGUCUCCUGCGGGGCCUGCAGCAUUUAGAUUGCUUUCAGGGGCCAGGAGUCCAACAACUGCAUUUCUCAGACUCCCCUGCGAGCUGUUUACCGGGGAAGCCCUGUCAGCAGGAGGCACCAGUGGGGGACCAGAAGAGGAGCCUCUCCCUGUGUGUGGCGCUGGAAGCAGCAGCCGCGGCUGGUGAUAACGGGUUCCAACAACGUCGCUGUGGUCAAAGCAGCGACAGAGUUCCAGAAACCACAGCAGCAGCUCCAGUCCAGGUAGCAGAUUCCUGAUCUCUGGACGAUCCCCAUCCUCAACCCAUUUUUACCUUCUCCAGUUUGGCCAACACGUUUGUAACCGAUUCGCCGCAUCGCAUCCUGUUUUACUCCGUCCAGAGUGGCUUCUGUUUUCCUGUCGUGAUAUUGACUGAUACAAGAUGCAAAUUGUCCGACGCAAACAGACCCUGAUCAGGGUGCAUGGGGUGGGGGGUGUAGUGAGGAGGGGUCGCUGGCUUCUAAAGCUAAUCUCUGUUCUACUCAACCCUGACCACUUUGACCACUUUUAUGGCACAAGUGUGACCCUUGUCACCACCAGCCACUCAAGCUGGUUCUUUUUUGUUUUAUUAAGAGUUUAUUUUUAAGUAGUCUCCACAUCAGGUUGGCCCUUCGUGUUUUGAAUUUGACCCCUAGUAACUGUCCCUUGGCUCCACCCCUCAGCCCCACUCUUUGCCCUUUGAAAGCUUGGCUGCCCCCUCUUUGGUGGUGGCCCUUGGUUGCCUCUUGAUGCAGGCUUCUUGUGCAUAUGACGUUCCUGCUCCGACUCCCCCAAGCCAGGCUCCACACACAAUCUGCCCUAUUCCCAUCCCAGGAAGCAGGCAAAGCUUGUUUAAAAAUUCCAAGAGUGUUAGCCUGUGUUCAACCAGAGAAGUAGAACCCAUAGUAAAAAGGGUAAAAAUACACAGAAGAAUAGGGGAUCAAGGGAUUGUUAGAGGAAGGAGCCCCACACAAUUGAGGGAGCUGGUUAAGUAGUCUCUGUGAGUAUGUGGUCUCCAUGUCUGAUGCUGGAACUUCAAGUCCAUAGGACAGGGAAUCAGGAAGAGAAGAUGGAUGUCAAGGACGGGGUAGAAGCCACAGAGGGGACUGGUGCCCCAGAGGAUGGUCUGAAACCAUGUCAGUUCUUGUUGCCUCUGACCCUGUGGUAUGUCUGCAGAAGCUGAGUUGAAGAUAUGGAGCUGGGAGUACAAUGAGCAAAUACUCUUAAAGCUCAGAGGGCAGAGAAUCAGAAGAAAACUGCAUAGAAAGUGCUCUGAUGAUUGGCAGAAGGUCCGCCUUGAGUUUUUCAGUGGGAAACUGAUCAGUGCCAGCAUGUGAGGAAAUCACCCAAGCCUAGUAAAACCACCCAAAAGGAUUAGAAGGAGCAAUCACUCAGCUCACAUAGGAUCAGGAAUGGUUCCUAUUCUCACAAAACAAAGUAAAAAAAAAAAAACCCUCAUAAUUCACAGGGCAUCCAACAGAAUACCCAAAAAAGGUUAGCUUUGCCUCAGUACUGGGGCAAAAUCAGCCC